rnacentral:siRNA from 1 species
UGCAUAGAGAUUAUUGGAUCC